UACGUAGGGGGCAAGCGUUGUCCGGAUUUAUUGGGCGUAAAGAGCUCGUAGGCGGUUUGGUAAGUCUGGUGUGAAAUCUCCACGCUCAACGUGGAGGGGCCACCCGAUACUGCCAUGACUGGAGUCCGGUAGAGGAGUGUGGAAUUCCCGGUGUAGCGGUGAAAUGCGCAGAUAUCAGGAGGAACACCAGUGGCGAAGGCGGUGCUCUGGGCCGGAACUGACGCUGAGGAGCGAAAGCGUGGGGAGCAAACAGG
rnacentral:rRNA from 1 species